rnacentral:rRNA from 1 species
UGAGGAAUAUUGGUCAAUGGACGAGAGUCUGAACCAGCCAAGUCGCGUGAAGGAAGACGGCGUUAUGCGUUGUAAACUUCUUUUGUUCGGGAAUAAAAAAGGGGACGUGUCCCCUAUUGUAUGUACCGAAAGAAUAAGGAUCGGCUAACUCCGUGCCAGCAGCCGCGGUAAUACGGAGGAUCCGAGCGUUAUCCGGAUUUAUUGGGUUUAAAGGGUGCGUAGGCGGGUUAUUAAGUCAGUGGUGAAAGUUUUCGGCUCAACCGGAAAAUUGCCAUUGAAACUGGUAGUCUUGAGUACAGUAGAGGUAAGCGGAAUUCGUGGUGUAGCGGUGAAAUGCUUAGAUAUCACGAAGAACUCCGAUUGCGAAGGCAGCUUGCUGGAGUGUCACUGACGCUGAUGCACGAAAGCGUGGGGAUCAAACA